rnacentral:rRNA from 1 species
UACGUAGGGUGCGAGCGUUAAUCGGAAUUACUGGGCGUAAAGCGUGCGCAGGCGGUUUUGUAAGCCCGAUGUGAAAGCCCCGGGCUUAACCUGGGAAUGGCAUUUGGGACUGCAAGGCUGGAGUACGGCAGAGGGAGGUGGAAUUCCAGGUGUAGCAGUGAAAUGCGUAGAUAUCUGGAGGAACACCGGUGGCGAAGGCGGCAUCCUGGACCGACACUGACGCUGAGGCGCGAAAGCUAGGGGAGCAAACGGG